rnacentral:rRNA from 1 species
GUGCCAGCAGCCGCGGUAAUACGUAGGGUGCAAGCGUUGUUCGGAAUUACUGGGCGUAAAGCGCGCGUAGGCGGGUUGGAAAGUCGAUUGUGAAAGCCCUAGGCUUAACCUGGGAAUUGCAGUCGAAACUCCCAAUCUUGAGUGCCUGAGAGGAUGGCGGAAUUCCCGGUGUAGUAGUGAAAUACGUAGAUAUCGGGAAGAACACCUGAGGCGAAGGCGGCUAUCUGGCGGUGCACUGACGCUGAGGCGCGAAAGCGUGGGGAGCAAACAGGAUUAGAUACCCUGGUAGUCCACGCCGUAAACGAUGGAUACUAGGUGUCCGGGAUGUUAACCUCCUGGGUACCGUAGCUCACGCAUUAAGUAUCCCGCCUGGGGAGUACGGUCGCAAGACUAAA